UACGAAGGGGGCUAGCGUUGUUCGGAAUUACUGGGCGUAAAGCGCACGUAGGCGGACAUUUAAGUCAGGGGUGAAAUCCCGGGGCUCAACCCCGGAACGGCCUUUGAUACUGGGUGUCUUGAGUUCGGAAGAGGUGGGUGGAAUUGCGAGUGUAGAGGUGAAAUUCGUAGAUAUUCGCAGGAACACCAGUGGCGAAGGCGGCUCACUGGUCCGAUACUGACGCUGAGGUGCGAAAGCGUGGGGAGCAAACAGG
rnacentral:rRNA from 1 species